CCGAAACCCCUUCUUCUUCUCCCUUUUUCUUUUCUUUUCUUUCCUAUGUUUUCUCUCCAAACCAGUCACGGCCAUAACCAGUUGGACCACCGCCGGAGUGCCAUUUCUGACACGCGCCGAAGCUGCAGCUUCCCUGACCGGCGAUGACGAAAACCCCAAAGCUUGGUGGCCAUCGGAGCAAGGACGCGCCUAUACAGCCACUCCGAAGUUUCACCGUCGAAACUUUGAGGUGACUUUCCGACCACCGUUCGGCGAGUGGGUGGUACCGUUGGAAUCAGCAUCGUGAGAGGAUCGUCGCCCACUAAGUCAUUCCGGUCAACUCACCAUUUUUCUCCAGCGAGAUUUUGGGUAUCUUCGCCCCUUUGGAAGCAUGUUCCGGCGACACCGGAGGUCAUUUGGGCGAAGGAGCUGUACUUUCGUGAUGUACUCAUCGGGAUGAUCGUUUUGAUAUAUGCCAUGCAUAUAUUCAUUGACGUUUCUGGUACCGCCACAAACCGCUAUUGUGCACCGCUUGGGAAAAACGUGAUAUUAAAAUCGGACUAAAUCAUUCUAAGAUCAUCGAUAAGCUUAGGAGCGUUGCUUUGGGCUCGGAUUAAAUUCCAAGGAGAUAUCUAAAGAGGAGCCUAGUGACGCGAACGUGGAAAUGAUGAAUUAUCGAUGGAGCCAAUGUGUUUAGCCUAUUUCUAUUUCGGGUCAUUAUCUUAUCUUUUGAGCAUUAUAUAUGUAUUCGACUUCGAAUCUAAUGAUCGGUAUAUCUGAAUGAGCUAUGAAAUAGUUAGAGAUGAGGAAUGGUGGAUGCUAAGUAUUAUUUUGAGUGUUUAUGACUUAUUAAAUUUAACUAUUUGGUGAUUACAUAACUGUGGGAAUAUUAUUGUUUUAUGUAUAAUGAUAAAUGAUCAUACUUUUAUUACUAAUAUUUUUCUAUCUAAUUAUAGGAGUUAUUUCAUUAUUUUAACUUAUAAUUAUAGUACGAUUUAAUAUAAAGUAA